rnacentral:rRNA from 1 species
UUGACCUCAAAUCAGGUAAGGAUACCCGCUGAACUUAAGCAUAUCAAUAAGCGGAGGAAAAGAAACCAACAGGGAUUGCCUUAGUAACGGCGAGUGAAGCGGCAAAAGCUCAAAUUUGAAAGCUAGCACCUUCGGUGUUCGCGUUGUAAUUUGAAGAUAGUUUCCUUGAGUAGUCUUUAUCUAUGUUCCUUGGAACAGGACGUCAUAGAGGGUGAGAACCCCGUAUGAUUUUGGAUACUACUCUUUGUGGGAUUCUAUCGAGAGUC